rnacentral:rRNA from 1 species
GACGAACGCUGGCGGCGUGCCUAAUACAUGCAAGUCGAGCGAGCUUGCCUAGAUGAAUUUGGUGCUUGCACCAGAUGAAACUAGAUACAAGCGAGCGGCGGACGGGUGAGUAACACGUGGGUAACCUGCCCAAGAGACUGGGAUAACACCUGGAAACAGAUGCUAAUACCGGAUAACAACACUAGACGCAUGUCUAGAGUUUAAAAGAUGGUUCUGCUAUCACUCUUGGAUGGACCUGCGGUGCAUUAGCUAGUUGGUAAGGCAACGGCUUACCAAGGCAAUGAUGCAUAGCCGAGUUGAGAGACUGAUCGGCCACAUUGGGACUGAGACACGGCCCAAACUCCUACGGGAGGCAGCAGUAGGGAAUCUUCCACAAUGGACGCAAGUCUGAUGGAGCAACGCCGCGUGAGUGAAGAAGGGUUUCGGCUCGUAAAGCUCUGUUGGUAGUGAAGAAAGAUAGAGGUAGUAACUGGCCUUUAUUUGACGGUAAUUACUUAGAAAGUCACGGCUAACUACGU